UACGUAGGGUCCGAGCGUUGUCCGGAAUUAUUGGGCGUAAAGGGCUCGUAGGCGGUCUGUUGCGUCGGGAGUGAAAACUUACAGCUUAACUGUGAGCGUGCUUCCGAUACGGGCAGACUUGAGGUAUUCAGGGGAGAACGGAAUUCCUGGUGUAGCGGUGAAAUGCGCAGAUAUUAGGAGGAACACCGGUGGCGAAGGCGCCGCUCUGGGCCGAAACUGACGCUGAGGAGCGAAAGCGUGGGUAGCAAACAGG
rnacentral:rRNA from 1 species